rnacentral:rRNA from 1 species
GACGAACGCUGGCGGCGUGCUUAACACAUGCAAGUCGAACGGAAAGGCCCUGCUUUUGUGGGGUGCUCGAGUGGCGAACGGGUGAGUAACACGUGAGUAACCUGCCCUUGACUUUGGGAUAACUUCAGGAAACUGGGGCUAAUACCGGAUAGGAGCUCCUGCUGCAUGGUGGGGGUUGGAAAGUUUCGGCGGUUGGGGCUGGACGCGCGGCUUAUCAGCUUGUUUGUGGGGUAGUGGCUUACCAAGGCUUUGACGGGUAGCCGGCCUGAGAGGGUGACCGGCCACAUUGGGACUGAGAUGCGGCCCAGACUCCUACGGGAGGCAGCAGGGGGGAAUAUUGCACAAUGGGCGGAAGCCUGAUGCAGAAACGCCGCGUGCGGGAUGACGGCCUUCGGGUUGUAAACCGCUUUCGCCUGUGAAGAAGAGUGAGUGACGGUAAUGGGUAAAGAAGCACCGGCUAACUACGUG